rnacentral:rRNA from 1 species
GACGAACGCUGGCGGCGUGCUUAACACAUGCAAGUCGAGCGGUAAGGCCCUUUCGGGGGUACACGAGCGGCGAACGGGUGAGUAACACGUGGGUGACCUGCCCUCAGCUCUGGGAUAAGCCUGGGAAACCGGGUCUAAUACUGGAUAUGACUCCAUGACGCAUGUUGUGGGGUGGAAAGCCUUGUGCGGCUGAGGAUGGGCCCGCGGCCUAUCAGCUUGUUGGUGGGGUGAUGGCCCACCAAGGCGACGACGGGUAGCCGGCCUGAGAGGGCGACCGGCCACACUGGGACUGAGACACGGCCCAGACUCCUACGGGAGGCAGCAGUGGGGAAUCUUGCGCAAUGGGCGAAAGCCUGACGCAGCGACGCCGCGUGAGGGAUGACGGCCUCGGUGUAAC